UCUUUCUGGCAGUUGUACCAUUUGGGUUC
rnacentral:piRNA from 1 species